UUUUAUGAAUGAGUGAAGAAGGUGGUUUCCUGAGACAGAAUCUACUCCUGGUGAAGAUGCUGUGAA
rnacentral:pre_miRNA from 1 species